CGUUGGAACGUUAUUGUGUUUCUUGUUUUCCAAGUUAUGAAAUCCCCCGAAAAACCAAAACCAAACCCAAACCAACGCUAAGCAACGUCCCUGUUGAGCUCACGACACCACCUAUUCCUCGAAUCGGAGAACGCGAGCGAGCAACAAGUAAAAAUCUGGCGUCGAGCCCAGACCCUCCAGUAACGUUAUUUACAAGGCUGUCUUCUCGGUAAUCGUAUCUUUUGAGGUUCUGUACCAUAAUAUCGCUCAUUUUUCCCGUCUCCGAGAGCGUCUAAAUAAUGAGAUUUUCCGGACUUGGCCGUUCAUUGUCUCGGUCUUCUCGCUCCAGAAAUUUGUUGUGUGGUGGUGGUGGAGGGAGAUCGGCGAUCUUGAACGAAGAGCUUCUGCGAGUGUCACGUGUGAAUGAGUAUCUGGGUCGUGUGGAUGGGGGCUCUGGGUUUUUGAGGGGUUAUUUGGCAACUACUGUUGGAGCUCACAGGGAGCUCGCCCCCAAGGCUUAUUUAUCCAAUUUGAACCACGUUCUUGCCAACCCUAGAUUACAUCGGCUUUUCUCGAGUGAAGCCCCAAAGAAAAAGAAUUAUGAGAACUUUUAUCCGAAGGAAAAGAAGGAAAUUCCAGAGGGGAACAAGCAAAAGUCGGAGUCAAAAGAUGACUCGAACACGGAUGAUCGUUGGAAUUUUCAAGAUGCUUUCAUAAAGCAAUUUCAGAAUUUCAUCACUCCUUUAGUUGUAAUUGGCCUAGUUCUUUCUUCCUUACCAUUUGGUUCUCAUGAACAGAAACAGAUUAGUUUUCAAGAGUUCAAAAACAAGCUUCUGGAGCCAGGCUUGGUGGAUCAUAUAAUUGUUUCUAAUAAAUCAGUUGCGAAAGUUUAUGUAAGGAGUUCUCCACGCAAUCAAACAAGUGAUGAUAUUGUGGAGGGACCUAUUAAUGGUACCCCUGCAAAAGGAAAGGGGGGCAUCACAAAUACUAUUUCAACAUUGGAAGUGUUGAAUCUUUUGAGGAGAAGCUGGAGGAAGCCCAGGAAGCAUUAGGGAUAGAUCCUCAUGAUCAUGUUCCUGUAACGUAUAUGUCUGAAAUGGUUUGGUAUCAAGAAUUGAUGAGAUUUGCACCAACUGUCUUGCUUUUGGGUACCCUUUUGUUUAUGGGGCGGAGAAUGCAAGGUGGGCUGGGCGUUGGUGGUGGUGGUGGAAAGGGUGCCCGUGGGAUAUUUAACAUAGGAAAAGCCCACGUUACGAAAGUGGAUAAAAAUGCCAAGAAUAAGAUCUAUUUCAAAGAUGUUGCCGGAUGUGAUGAAGCAAAGCAAGAAAUCAUGGAAUUUGUGCACUUCCUAAAGAACCCUAAGAAGUAUGAGGAAUUGGGAGCAAAGAUUCCUAAAGGGGCUCUCUUGGUGGGCCCCCCAGGCACAGGAAAAACACUUCUAGCAAAAGCAACUGCAGGGGAAUCUGGUGUGCCUUUUCUCUCCAUAUCUGGUUCUGAUUUUAUGGAGAUGUUUGUUGGUGUUGGGCCAUCUCGGGUGAGAAACUUGUUUCAAGAAGCAAGGCAGUGUGCUCCCAGUAUAGUUUUUAUUGAUGAGAUUGACGCAAUUGGUCGAGCAAGGGGGCGUGGGGGCUUUUCAGGUGCAAAUGAUGAGCGUGAAAGUACUCUAAAUCAGUUGCUGGUUGAAAUGGAUGGUUUUGGAACCACUUCUGGAGUUGUUGUGCUUGCUGGAACCAAUAGACCUGAUAUUUUAGACAAUGCUCUUUUGAGGCCUGGCCGAUUUGAUCGCCAAAUUACGAUUGAUAAACCUGAUAUUAAUGGCCGUGACCAGAUAUUUCAGAUCUACUUGAAAAAAAUUAAACUUGAUCACGAGCCAUCGUAUUACUCUCAAAGGCUUGCAGCCCUCACACCUGGGUUUGCUGGAGCAGACAUUGCAAAUGUCUGUAACGAAGCUGCUCUAAUUGCUGCAAGGAAAGAGGGAACACAGGUCACAAUGGAGCAUUUUGAGGCAGCUAUAGAUAGGAUCAUUGGUGGUCUGGAGAAGAAGAAUAAGGUAAUUAGCAAGCUGGAGCGCCGAACUGUUGCCUAUCAUGAAUCGGGCCAUGCUGUUGCCGGAUGGUUCUUAGAACAUGCGGAACCCUUGUUGAAAGUAACAAUUGUGCCUCGUGGUACAGCAGCGCUUGGAUUUGCUCAAUAUGUUCCUAAUGAAAACCUUCUCAUGACUAAGGACCAGCUUUUUGAUAUGACAUGCAUGACACUCGGUGGUCGGGCAGCUGAACAGGUGCUGUUGGGAAAGAUCUCGACGGGUGCCCAAAAUGAUCUGGAGAAGGUGACAAAGAUGACCUACGCACAAGUAGCUGUCUAUGGUUUUAGCGAGAAGGUGGGUCUCCUUUCAUUCCCUCAAAGGGAUGACACAAUGGAGAUGUCCAAGCCCUACAGCAGCAAGACCGCGGCAAUUAUUGAUGGUGAAGUGCGAGAGUGGGUGGGCAAGGCAUACGAACACACAGUCCAGCUUAUAGAGCAACACAAGGAGCAAGUGGCUAAAAUUGCGGAGCUGUUGCUCGAAAAGGAAGUUCUUCACCAAGACGACCUGCUUCAAGUUUUGGGCGAGCGGCCAUUCAAAUCAAGUGAGCUCACAAAUUAUGAUAGAUUUAAGCAAGGCUUUCAAGAGGAAGAUCAGAAGACUGUGGAGACGCCUGUUAAUAGUAGGCAUGAGGAGGAGGAUGGUUCUUCACCCCUAGAACCUCAAGUACUCCCUGCUUGAUUACUGGCUGUUCUAUCGUCUGUAAUUGUACAUGCAACGAAUUAUUUUUUCUCCAUUUUUCCUUGAUGUUGACAAAACCGUACAAGCAGUAUUUUAUUACUGCAGACUGCAGAGUAUCGUUAUUUGCUUCAAAUUUCACAUUGUGUUGAAUUUA